rnacentral:rRNA from 1 species
GAUGAACGCUGGCGGUAUGCCUAACACAUGCAAGUCGUACGAGAGUUUUUAACUCUAGUGGCGGACGGGUGAGUAACACGUGAGAAUUUGCCUUUAGGAGGGGGAUAACAAUUGGAAACGAAUGCUAAUACCCCAUAUGCUUUUGAGUGAAACGGAUUUAUCCGCCUAGAGAGAAGCUCGCGGCUGAUUAGCUUGUUGGUAAGGUAAGAGCUUACCAAGGCGACGAUCAGUAUCUGGUUUGAGAGGACGAUCAGACACACUGGAACUGAGACACGGUCCAGACUCCUACGGGAGGCAGCAGUGGGGAAUUUUCCGCAAUGGGCGAAAGCCUGACGGAGCAAUACCGCGUGAGGGAGAAUGCCUA